rnacentral:tRNA from 1 species
UCCUCUUUAGUAUGGUGAUGAGUAUCCCCUCCUGUUAUGUGGGAGACCAGGGUUCGAUUCCCUUGAUGGGGAGGCA